CAGUGCUGGGGCUUGAUUUCCUCCCCCGAAUUAUAACAAGCGACCCGUCACUUUUCUUUGUCACUGCAGAGCCUCUCCCCUGCCCCUCGGAGGUUCCAGAUCUGACAAGGGGCCUGGUUGAGAAGGGCAAGACUUCCAGGUCGUCUCAAGUUCGGUUUCCAGGAGCGUCUCAGGGGACCCACGGCAGAAGGAAGGAACGACCAAGUCAGAGGCAAGUUGAACUCUGGAGUCUGGAGCCCUUGAGUAAGCCCCGGGAGACUGGUAAAGGAAAACCUUUGAAACUCUAGGUAGCAUUGAAUCCAGUCAACAAUAAGGGCAGUCUUGCUACAGAAGUAAAAGAGAGAGCUAAGGGAAUUAUUUCAACAGCUGCUAAAAUCUCGAAUAAUGUAGCCACAUCCCCUAAUUUCAUUCUCUACAGUAUCCAUUUCAGCUUAAAGCCUAGUCUAGAACAAUUGUUUGUUUGUUUUUUUCUUUUUGGAUAGGUAUGUCAGAGACAAGCACGGAAUAGAGAGUGCAUAUUUGGCACCUGGUUUAGAGAAUAAAGAUUAAAUACAAUACUUUUCGACAUGGUUUUCCCCUUUGUUUGAGUCAAUUCCUAAAUGUUAACAGAUUAAACUCUGAAAUUAAUUUUUAGCUUCUAGCACUACUAGAAAAUCAGGACCUGUCAGGUGAAAAGGUAAGUAUUUCUGGUUAUUGAUUCCUUUAUUUUUUGUUAAGCUAAAAUAUAAUGGGAACUUCCGAGCUAAUAGUGGAGCUCUGUCCUUGGAGCACGAAAAGUUGUCAUAAGCAACAUGUAAACGAAUGGGCCGUGUUCCGAUAAAACUUUAUUUAUAGACAGUGAAA